UGCUUUACACAUGCAAGUCGAACGGCAGCAUGACCUAGCUUGCUAGGUUGAUGGCGAGUGGCGAACGGGUGAGUAAUGCAUCGGAAUGUAUCCUACAGUGGGGAACAACCUAGCGAAAGUUAGGCUAAUACCGCAUACGCCCCGAGGGGGAAAGUGGGGGACCGCAAGGCCUCACGCUGUUGGAGCAGCCGAUGUCAGAUUAGCUAGUUGGUGAGGUAAAGGCUCACCAAGGCGACGAUCUGUAGCGGGUCUGAGAGGAUGAUCCGCCACACUGGGACUGAGACACGGCCCAGACUCCUACGGGAGGCAGCAGUGGGGAAUUUUGGACAAUGGGGGCAACCCUGAUCCAGCCAUUCCGCGUGAGUGAAGAAGGCCUUCGGGUUGUAAAGCUC
rnacentral:rRNA from 1 species